CACAUCAGUGUCUCUUUGUUUAAUUUCAGGGUCACUGGAUGUAUCCCUCAGGACUUCAGCCGGUGGGGGGUUCAUGCCAGUGCCCAAAGUGAUGCCACUUUGGGCACUGCGAUCUCUGUCUCAGAUUGGAGGCAGCAUUUAACAGUCCUGCCCUUAUAUUCUAUGGAUGUUCUUCUUUUUAACUUGUGGGCAAAGCCUUCAUCAUACUGUGGAGUUGUAACAUUCCAUGUCUACCCAUUUUCCUUGGUAUAUAGAGCCUGUGAACAUUGCUGCACAAAUAGUCAAUAGACUCGACCUUCCAUCCUUCCGAGGUGCCUUUACACAAUAGAGCCACAGUCAGGAGUCAAGUAUCAGUCUUUGAUCUACAAUUUGUGAAGAAAUGCAUCAUCCUAAGAAGAAUUAAGUAGCUUGAAUUUCUAUAAGAAAGAAAAUCUUUCUCCUUCUUAAAUUAAAUAACAAAGACUUUCCAUGCCCAAUACUAGUCUGGAUAUGAAAGAGGCUAUAUAAGCAUCAUUCUGUCCUAUUCCUUUUAGUGUGAACAGAAUAAUGAAUUAUUUCCCAUUUUACUUGCUUUGUUUCUUGGAAACCAGGCAAAUUAUUCUUCUGUAAUAAUUUUUGCUUUAAAAGGGUAGUUAUUCCACUGCUAAAAUGAGAAUCAUUCAACUUUAUUAUAGAUAAAACAGGUGGAUAUAUAGAAGAUGUGUGUUUUCUGAAAAAUAUAAUUUCAAAGUUAAAACUUUGAACUGUGAGCAGAUCCUAAUUAGAUAAGAGCCAGAAUUUAUAUAGCUUGUUUUACUUCUCACAGAUUAAAAAAUAUGAGCUAGACCCAAAGUUUUUACAGAAUCAGAAUAAUUAGAUGGAGAAAAUGAAACAAAACGUUAAUUUUCCUGAAAUUUUUCCAGUUUCCUAAAAAUAAAUUUUAAAAUCUCAGAAUUUUUUUUAAAAAAUCUCAAUAUCAUUGUGUAAUGUAGACCAUAUAAAUUUCCUCAUAUUACUGCUUUUCAAAUACUGAAUUUUGUCCUGGUUUCAGGAAGUCAUGAUAUUGGUAUCCUAGUUAGCUGGAUAACAUCCAAAUCAUACUAGUUAUGGGAGUUUCCUAUGAUGUUGUAUGGAAGCAAAAGUUGGACUUUGAAGUAGUGCCAAUAGCACAGGAAGAGUAUUGAGGUUUUUGAACUGGAGAACACUCAUUACCAUUUAAUUAAGAUUUGUUUCUAAAAGCCUUGAUACUCUCAAGAUUAUUACUAAACUUCUAUGACAUUCAUGAGAAGGACAUUCAUAAGAAAAUAUGGAAGCAAGAAAAGUGUGCAAAUAAAUACUAUGGUGAGAUGUAAUUCUCUUAUGAGUACUAGCAAUUAGGGUUUCCAAUGCUAGAAGAAAUACACACAUUCACAACACACCCUAGUUUCUCACAAAUUUUAGAUUAUAACAUCUAGAACGCCACCAAAAGAAGAAGAAUUGAACAAUGGUUAUUAAGAUCUGGAC